GAUGAACGCUGGCGGCGUGCUUAACACAUGCAAGUCGAACGGAAAGGCCCAAGUUUCCUUGUGUACUCGAGUGGCGAACGGGUGUGUAACACGUGGGUGAUCUGCCCUGCACUUCGGGAUAAGCCUGGGAAACUGGGUCUAAUACCGGAUAGGAGCACUCCUUGGAUGUUGUGGUGGAAAGUUUUUUCGGUGUGGGAUGAGCUCGCGGCCUAUCAGCUUGUUGGUGGGGUAAUGGCCUACCAAGGCGUCGACGGGUAGCCGGCCUGAGAGGGGGUACCGCCACCAUUGGGCCUGGGAAAGGGCCAGACCCCGACGGGGGGGAAGCGGGGGGAAAUUUGCCACAUGGGCGCAAGGCUGAUGCAGCGGCGCCGCGGUGGGGAUGACCGGCUUCGGGUUGGAAACGCCUUUCGCGAGGGAAGAAGCGUAUUGUGACGGUACCUGGAGAAGAAGCACCGGCUAACUACGUG
rnacentral:rRNA from 1 species